GAAAUAUAUAUGUAUGAAAUAUAAAAUUGUCCUGUUAGCAAAAAUGUUUAUGAACCCAAACAAAAAUAUAUUACAAUGCCACACAUGUCAUUACCCCAACAUCAUUUUUCCUUCUACAUGGUUUUAUAUUAAACACAUCCAUACGAAGGGAGACACUUAUUUACAUUCCAAGCAGUAAUAGCAAGCAUGAGUCUCUUUUUCUUAGGAUCUAAUAAUACCUGACGAAUUGAUUGACUGCUUCUUUAGCAAAUCCUUAGUCUUUUUAAUCAAAUGCGGAAUUCUGAUAAAGGAAAGCAAAGAAGAGAUUCCGCCAGUCACCCAUGACAAAAUUUCGGCUUGAUCCUUAGAAGUAAUACCAUCACCAUAGUCCUUAUCAUCAUCGUCAUCCAAAUAAUUUAAAUUCCAUGAUACCCUUAUCAUGAAAUAAAAUAAGAAGCAGAAGAAGCUCAACCCAAUGACACAAAUGACGAUUCUAAAGGAAGGCGUUAGAACUGCAUAAGUGCCUGUCACAAAUGUAAUCACCAUUGCUACCAUAGCAUAGAAGAGGAAACUGAAAGCAUAUCUUAUUAACGAAUAGUAUCUUUUCCGAUAUCCCACGACCACCAGCAUAAGGUGAAUAAAGACAGAGCAAGUAGAUAAAACCAUAGCUAUAGUAUCUGAUAUCAUAAAUGCUUUAAAAGCCAAAUUUUUGCCUAGGAUAGGACUCCCCUUCUUCAAAUCGUUUUCUUCACUGAUAUUACCGCCAGGUAAAGUGAAACCUGCGGCAAAAGUUACCGUUGCUAUAAGUGUUGCAGCCACCAAAUGAGAGUCUUUGACUUUUUCGAAUUUAAGUACCAUGUUUUUUAUUCUCCUUUCUUCUUGUUCCUCUU
rnacentral:misc_RNA from 1 species